GUGUUUCUCUCAUGGUCAACUAUAUGCUGCAUUUUUAAGAACUACAGCAUUUAAUAGUUUGAUUUUCAAAAUUGAUAAACAUCAUAUUCAAGGUAUAGUAGUAUUGUUAAUGCUUUGGUACUUCGAAACAGGUUUUAUAGUUACAUUUUCGAUAUAUCUUUAACUGCAAUUUCAAAAUAGGUUACUAUAAAUAGAAUUACGUUAUGACGCAUUUAUAAGAUUUAUAAAAUAAAAA